ACUAUCGACUAGGUCAUCCUUCAUUUCGUUAUUUGCAAUACAUAUUUCCUGAUUUAUUUUCAGAAUUAUCUAUUGUAGAACCCCAAAUAAUUUUAAACACCUUAGUGGCACUAAGACAUGAAUAUUGAAUGGUUAAAGUAUACUUAAGCUUUUUAGUCUCAUUUGAGACCCAUUUACGACAUAGAAAAUAUUCGAUUUGAAAAAUGAUAUCUAAGGAAAAGUUGAAACUCUUUGAGUUAGCUUUUCAACGCACUUUGAAUUACCUCAAUCGGAUAUCGGGAGAAGAAGUUAUGAUAGAAAUACUAAAUGUUGUACAGUAUCAACCGAAGUAUGCAGAAUAUGAAAAGUCAAAUUCCUACACGAUUUUCUAGCACCUUCUUAAACCUAUAACUCCCACAUAAAUGAUACUCGUAUUAAUGAGUAUUAGGCCCUUCACUUGCCCUUAAGUUGUGAGAUUUUCACCUAUAAAUAGGCCCCAAUGCAUACACAUUUUUCACACCAAGACAAAAGCUUCUAAACAUAAAAAAGAGUUUUCAAGUCUAGAAAAAAGAGAAAGGAAAAUUAGUUUUUCCUAGAAGUUUUGGUGCUAUCAAGAAGUGUUUUCAAAGCAUCAAUUCUCAAUGGAGUGUUUUUUUUGAAACAUCAAAGGAGUACAUUUUUUCAACGAGGUUCAAAAUAUCAUCAAGGUAGGUAGAGGUGCAAAAUGUUAAUUCGUGUUAAGUUAUAAGUUUCUAACAAAUGAAGAUUUAUGUUAAUGUUUGUAUGUCUAAUGGUACCUCCGGUACGGCAUACACCUCCAUGUCUAAAGGUACCUGCAUGUACGACAUGUACUUCCGAUCAAGGUGUCGUGUUAAGUCAUGACUCUACGUGUUUGGGAUUCUACCGAAAAUCCUACUAUGAAAAGGUUUCUAAAGUUACAGUUUUGAAAUGUAUAGUUUGAUCACGAAUGCACCAAUGAUAUCUAUUGAGUUUUUUUAGCUCUUGGGUUUAACCCAUUCUCUACAGAUUGAUAUGAUUCUACCUUGGGCCUGGAUGACGGAAAAGAUGUAGAGUGGUGCAACGAGCCCAUGGAAAACCCGAUGAACAAAUUAUUUAGAUUUAUUUUUGUGAACGUUUUCAAUAUUAUUUUUUUAAAGUAUUUGAAUAACGCUGAACGCGAGAACAAGUUGUGUUUUCUUCAAAUAAAUUACAUUUCGUUAUUUUUUUAUUCAGUGUUUUAUUUAAAGUAUUCGAAAGGUGGUUGUUAAAAUUAUCAUUGUAAAAAUUAAGCUUCCGCUAAAACAUAUUCUCCUAUGACUAAAUCACCAGUUAGUUAAGUAAAGUAAGUAGCGUUCCAGUCUACAAGGGGUCAGGGCGUU
rnacentral:lncRNA from 1 species